rnacentral:tRNA from 6 species
GGAGAAGUGGCAGAGCUGGUUGAAUGUACCUGACUCGAAAUCAGGCAUACGUGAAAGCGUAUCGAGGGUUCGAAUCCCUCCUUCUCCGCCA